ACACGACUACAUUAGAUACCCCUGUAGUCCAGGGUGUAAACUAUGCUCGCUAGGUGUCAGGCAUGGCGCGACCGUGUCUGGUGCCGCAGGGAAGCCGUGAAGCGAGCCACCUGGGAAGUACGGCCGCAAGGCUGAAACUUAAAGGAAUUGGCGGGGGAGCACAACAACGGGUGGAGCCUGCGGUUUAAUUGGACUCAACGCCGGACAACUCACCGGGGACGACAGCAAUAUGUAGGCCAGGCUGAAGACCUUGCCUGAAUCGCUG
rnacentral:rRNA from 1 species